GACGAACGCUGGCGGCGUGCUUAACACAUGCAAGUCGAACGGAAAGGCCUUUUCGGAGGUACUCGAGUGGCGAACGGGUGAGUAACACGUGGGUGAUCUGCCCUGCACUCUGGGAUAAGCCUGGGAAACUGGGUCUAAUACCGGAUAGGACCGCACUUUAGUGUGUGUGGUGGAAAGUUUUUUCGGUGUAGGAUGAGCCCGCAGCCUAUCAGCUUGUUGGUGGGGUAAUGGCCUACCAAGGCGGCGACGGGUAGCCGGACUGAGAGGUUGGUCGGCCACAUUGGGACUGAGAUACGGCCCAGACUCCUACGGGAGGCAGCAGUGGGGAAUAUUGCACAAUGGGCGCAAGCCUGAUGCAGCGACGCCGCGUGGGGGAUGACGGCCUUCGGGUUGUAAACUCCUUUCGCCAGGGACGAAGCGUUUUGUGACGGUACCUGGAGAAGAAGCACCGGCUAACUACGUG
rnacentral:rRNA from 1 species